rnacentral:rRNA from 1 species
GUGGGGAAUAUUGCACAAUGGGGGGAACCCUGAUGCAGCGACGCCGCGUGGGUGAAGGAGCACCUCGGUGCGUAAAGCCCUAUCGGCAGGGAAGAAACAGACGGUACCUGACUAAGAAGCCCCGGCUAACUACGUGCCAGCAGCCGCGGUAAUACGUAGGGGGCAAGCGUUAUCCGGAUUCACUGGGUGUAAAGGGAGCGUAGACGGCGGCGCAAGUCUGGAGUGAAAGCCCGGGGCCCAACCCCGGGACUGCUCUGGAAACUGCGGCGCUGGAGUACGGGAGGGGCAGGCGGAAUUCCUGGUGUAGCGGUGAAAUGCGUAGAUAUCAGGAGGAACACCGGCGGCGAAGGCGGCCUGCUGGACCGUGACUGACGUUGAGGCUCGAGAGCGUGGGGAGCAAACAGG